CCCUUAGAUGGUCUGGGCGGCACGCGCGCUACAAUGAUGCAUUCAAAAAGUCUUCUGACCUUAGAAGGUUGGGUAUGCUCCAAAGUGCCUCGUGAUGGGAAUAGUUUCCUGCAAUUUUUAAUCUCGAACGAGGAAUUCCUAGUAGGCACAGGUCAUCAACUUGUGUUGAUUACGUCCCUGCCCUUUGUACACACCGCCCGUUGCCCCUACUGAUUGAGUGUCUCGGUGAAUUAUUUGAUCUUCUGUCGAUUCAGUUCACUGAUCCGACGGUGGAAAGUUGAAUGAACUUCGUCACUUAGAGGAAGGAGAAGUCGUAACA
rnacentral:rRNA from 1 species